rnacentral:rRNA from 1 species
GAUGAACUCUAGCGGCAGGCCUAAUACAUGCAAGUCGAACGGUGUCCUCGGACAUAGUGGCGCACGGGUGCGUAACACGUAUGCAACCUACCUUACAUUGGGGGAUAGCCUUUCGAAAGGGAGAUUAAUACCGCAUAAGACAGUAGCUGGGCAUCCAGCAGCUGUUAAAGAUUUAUCGAUGUAAGCUGGGCAUGCGUCCAAUUAGCUAGUUGGUGAGGUAACGGCUCACCAAGGCAAUGAUUGGUAGGGGAACUGAGAGGUCAAUCCCCCACACUGGCACUGAGAUACGGGCCAGACUCCUACGGGAGGCAGCAGUAGGGAAUAUUGGGCAAUGGACGCAAGUCUGACCCAGCCAUGCCGCGUGCAGGAUGAAGGCGUUAUGCGUUGUAAACUGCUUUUAUACAGGAAGAAACGACUCUUGCGAGAGGCAUUGACGGUACUGUAUGAAUAAGCACCGGCUAACUCCGUGCCAGCCGCCGCAGUAAUAC